GAAGGCUAUGUUGGCCGGGCGACGGUUGUCCCGGUUUAAGCGUGUAGGCUGGUUUUCCAGGCAAAUCCGGAAAAUCAAGGCUGAGGCGUGAUGACGAGGCACUACGGUGCUGAAGCAACAAAUGCCCUGCUUCCAGGAAAAGCCUCUAAGCAUCAGGUAACAUCAAAUCGUACCCCAAACCGACACAGGUGGUCAGGUAGAGAAUACCAAGGCGCUUGAGAGAACUCGGGUGAAGGAACUAGGCAAAAUGGUGCCGUAACUUCGGGAGAAGGCACGCUGAUAUGUAGGUGAAGUCCCUUGCGGAUGGAGCUGAAAUCAGUCGAAGAUACCAGCUGGCUGCAACUGUUUAUUAAAAACACAGCAC
rnacentral:rRNA from 1 species